AGAGUUUGAUCCUGGCUCAGGGCUAACGCUGGCGGCGUGUCUUAGCCAUGCAAGUCGAGCGGGCCUGUGGGUUUACCUACAGGUCAGCGGCGGACGGCGGAGUAACACGUAGCUAACCUACCCCCUGGACGGGGAUAACCACUCGAAAGGGUGGCUAAUACCCGAAGGAGUCCCUAUCUGAGAUGGUAGGGAUGAAAGGUGGGCCUCUGCGGAAGCAAGCUCAUGCCGGGGGAGGGGGCUGCGGCCUAUCAGGUAGUUGGUGGGGUAAUGGCCCACCAAGCCUAUGACGGGUAGCCGGCCUGAGAGGGUGACCGGCCCGAGGGGCACUGAGACACGGGCCCCACUCCUACGGGAGGCAGCAGGCUAGAAAAUUGGGCAAUGGGGGAAACCCUGACCCAGUGACGCCGCGUGCAGGAAGAA
rnacentral:rRNA from 1 species